CAAUAGCGUAUAUUUAAGUUGUUGCAGUUAAAAAGCUCGUAGUUGGACCUUGGACCUGGACAGGCGGUCCGCCUCACGGCGAGUACUGUCUUGCUGGGUCUUUCCUCUUGGUGAUCUGUUGUUUCGGCAGCAGGGAACCAGGACCUUUACUUUGAAAAAAUUAGAGUGUUCAAAGCAGGCUCGACGCCGGAAUAUAUUAGCAUGGAAUAAUAAAAUAGGACGUGCGGUUCUAUUUUGUUGGUUUUUGGAAUCGCCGUAAUGAUUAAUAGGGACAGUCGGGGGCAUUAGUACUCACAUGCUAGAGGUGAAAUUCUUGGAUUUUGUGAAGACUAACUUCUGCGAAAGCAUUUGCCAAGGAUGUUUUCAUUAA
rnacentral:rRNA from 1 species